rnacentral:miRNA from 1 species
UGAACAAGCUUCCGCAAGUGCCA